AGAGUUUGAUCCUGGCUCAGGACGAACGCUGGCGGCGUGCCUAACACAUGCAAGUCGAGCGGGAGACUUCGGUCUCCAGCGGCGGACGGGUGAGUAACACGUGGGUAACCUGCCUUGUAGAGGGGGAUAGCCUUCCGAAAGGAAGAUUAAUACCGCAUAACAUUAUGCUAUCGCAUGAUAGUAUAAUCAAAGGAGCAAUCCGCUACAAGAUGGACCCGCGGCGCAUUAGCUAGUUGGUGAGGUAACGGCUCACCAAGGCGACGAUGCGUAGCCGGCCUGAGAGGGUGAACGGCCACAUUGGAACUGAGACACGGUCCAGACUCCUACGGGAGGCAGCAGUGGGGAAUAUUGCACAAUGGGCGAAAGCCUGAUGCAGCAACGCCGCGUGAGUGAUGAAGGCCUUCGGGUUGUAAAGCUCUGUCUUCUGGGACGAUAAUGACGGUACCAGAGGAGGAAGCCACGGCUAACUACGUGCCAGCAGCCGCGGUAAUACGUAGGUGGCAAGCGUUGUCCGGAUUUACUGGGCGUAAAGGAUGCGUAGGCGGAUGCUUAAGUCAGAUGUGAAAAUCCCGAGCUUAACUUGGGAACUGCAUUUGAAACUGGGUAUCUAGAGUGCGGGAGAGGAGAGUGGAAUUCCUAGUGUAGCGGUGAAAUGCGUAGAGAUUAGGAAGAACACCAGUGGCGAAGGCGACUCUCUGGACCGUAACUGACGCUGAGGCAUGAAAGCGUGGGGAGCAAACAGGAUUAGAUACCCUGGUAGUCCACGCCGUAAACUAUGAAUACUAGGUGUGGGAGUUGUCAUGACUUCCGUGCCGCAGUUAACACAAUAAGUAUUCCGCCUGGGGAGUACGGUCGCAGAUUAAAACUCAAGGAAUUGACGG
rnacentral:rRNA from 1 species